AUGCUCGAGCUCGCGCUGUUACAUGGCGCCGGCGCCGGCGCUGGGGAGCGGCUCGUGCCGGCCAUGUUCGUGUUCGGAGACUCGACGGUGGACGUCGGCAACAACAACCUGCUGCCGGACUGCAAGCCCGAAUGCAGGGCCAACUACCCGCAGUACGGCGUCGACCACCCCUCCCACGCGCCCACCGGCCGCUUCAGCAAUGGAUACAACCUCGCUGACCAGAUAGCUAAAUUACUUGGAUUCAACGAGAGCCCACCCGCUUUCCUCUCCCUCCAGGCCGAGGGCAUCAUUCCACGUAUGAAUGACGGCAUCAACUUUGCAUCGGGAGGGUCAGGGCUGCAGAACCAAACGGGCGAACAUUGCGGAGGAGUCUACAGCAUGGCCGACCAACUGGAGGAGUUCACGUUGGUCGUCAAGAUGAUGGGGAACAGCUCGUACGACCUCAUCUCCAGAUCACUCUUCUUCAUCAGCGUCGGCAGCAACGACCUGUUCGAGUACGCCCAUGCAAAGAACCCGCCCCCUAACCGCAACGAUACCGCCUUCCUGAAAUGCCUCGUCGACUCUUACAAGACCUAUUUGCAGGAGCUGCAUGCGCUCGGGGCGAGGAAGUUCAGCAUCGUCAGCCCGUCGCUGGUGGGGUGCUGCCCGUCGCAGAGGGCGGCCGCGCUGCAACAUCACAAUGACUUCGACGAGCUCCACUGCUUCCGCCCGGCGAACAACCUCUCCAAGCAACUCUACGCAUUGCUAGCCUCGAAGCUCCAGGAGCUCGGCGGUGAUCUGGACGGCAUGCACUACUCCAUCUGCGACUCUGCGGGGAUGGCCGAGAUGGUCUUCACACCCGGCGGCGCGAAAGGCAUGACCCAACGGUGGUGGAUACGGCCUGCUGCGCCGGCCCAGGGCCGUUCGGGGUGGGCCUGUGCAACACCUCCGCCACGCUAUGCCCCAACCGCACCAACUUCGUGUUCUGGGACAGCUUCCACCCGACGGAAUAUGCGUCGGGUUUGGCCGCGUCUGCGCUCUUCAUCGACAACGGCAGAUUCGUCCGCCCGAUCAACGUGGGGCAGCUGGCGGCGCUGUAG
rnacentral:rRNA from 1 species